rnacentral:rRNA from 1 species
GUCUACGGCCAUGCCACCUUGAACAUGCCUGAUCCCGUCUGAUCUCGGAAGCUAAGCAGGGUCGGGCCUGGUUAGUACUUGGAUGGGAGACCACCUAGGAAGACCAGGUGCUGUAACUG